rnacentral:rRNA from 1 species
UCGAGGACGAACGCUGGCGGCGCGCCUAACACAUGCAAGUCGAACGGGACUAGUGACCGGAGCUUAGAAACUUUCUAGGUUGCGAUCACUAGUUCAGUGGCGGACGGGUGAGUAAAGCAUGAGUAACUUUCCCAUAAGUGGGGAAUUGCUUUUUGGAAACAGAAGAUAAUACCGCAUGAAUCGUUGAGGACACAUGUUCACAACGGAAAAGAAGCAAUUCGCUUAUGGAUAGGCUCAUGUCUGAUUAGCUUGUUGGUGAGGUAAUGGCUCACCAAGGCGAUGAUCAGUAGCCGUACCGAGAGGUUCAACGGCCACAUUGGGACUGAGACACGGCCCAGACUCCUACGGGAGGCAGCAGUGAGGAAUAUUGCGCAAUGGAGGAAACUCCUGACGCAGCGACGCCGCGUGAAGGAAGAAGGUCUUCGGAUUGUAAACUUCUGUCUUCAGGGAAGAAACAAAUGACGGUACCUGGGGAGGAAGCCCCGGCUAACUACGUGCCAGCCGCCGC